AAAACCAUGCAGAUAUUUGUAAAGUCACUCUUUAUACAAAAUGGAGGUAUCAUUACUUGCUUUGAGAUAAUAGCUAAGGCUGUAAUUACUAACACUGCUUAUGUCAUGACACUUAAUAUUACACUAUCCAUUAAAAUGUGUUAAACCAAAGUGUGAUAACUGUUGAAAACUUAGCCUCUCCUCUUCCGCAAGAAACCACAUCUUCUCACAUCCAACACUCCUAGAUAGUAAGAGCAGUCUCCUGCCUGAAAGAAUCUAGUGCUCCUAAAUGUAUAGAAUCCAGAUGUUAGUGGAUGGCUUCAAUCAUCCCACAUGGGACCCAUGUAGUGAACAUUUUCCUUUUUUUAUUUUUAAUGUCCAUAUGUUUGUUUGGCUAGAAAUCAAGUUUCAUUACAUGCUCCUAUUAUUCCACUGUAUAACAAUUUUAUUUAUAGGUCCUUCACAUAAGGACUAAUUUCUUUGAUAGAAAGGCUGCUAAUGCUUAUUUAAGCUCACUAUAAUGAAAACAAUAUUGUUGAAACACCAAACAAAUGCCCGACCUCAGAACCAUGUCUUUGGUCCUCUCCUGGAUAAUGGAACUUCACAAGGUCAACUUACUCUCUGGGCUCCUUACAAAAAUGCACUGAAGGUAGACAGGAACUUUAUUAAAUGCUGGAAAUUCAUGUAUAAAGCAAGUAUAGUGUACUUAAUCUCCAUAUUGGCAUCGAAAAAUCUUCCUCAUGCCAAGACUAUACUUGAAUUUAGGGGCUCACAUAGAUAAUGAAUGCCUUAGAAAACCAUGUAGGAAGUAGGCAAUUCUGUUUUUGAAUACACCCUAUAUGUGCGUACGCAUGUAGUAGAAAUGGCAGUCUUGAUUUCUGUUCUACUCUGCAAAAACAUGUUUGGUCAUGGCACAUAUUCCAAAACUGAAUGUAAAAUACAUUAUCUGAAAUAUUAAAAGUGCAUUGAUGUCAAGUCAGAUCCCAGCCUAUUCUUCCACAUUGAUCCAUAGGUAAUUAAAUUAUGUCCUGUAAAAAAUGCUUAGCUUGACAGCCUCACUUUCCCUUUCAGAGGGGUCUGGUAGUAAUCAAGGAUCCCUUGUUAUUAACUUUAGAAAGUUAUGUUCUCAGUGCAAAAAGUUUUCCGUUUUAAGAAUGUCACCUUUAUGUUUCAGAUGUUUACAUUUUUGCUCACCUAUGCAGCCAUGAACAAAU
rnacentral:lncRNA from 1 species